rnacentral:rRNA from 1 species
AGCAGCCGCGGUAAUUCCAGCUCCAAUAGCGUAUAUUAAAGUUGUUGCAGUUAAAAAGCUCGUAGUUGAAUUUCGGGGUUAGUAGGCUGGUCAUGCCACCGGUAUGUACUGGUCUUUCUGAUUCCUCCUUCCUGAUGAACUGUAAUGCCAUUAAUUUGGUGUUGCAGGGAAUCUGGACUGUUACUUUGAAAAAAUUAGAGUGUUUAAAGCAGGCUAACGCUUGAAUACAUUAGCAUGGAAUAAUGAAAUAGGACGUUCGAUCCUAUUUUGUUGGUUUCUAGGAUUGACGUAAUGAUUAAUAGGGAUAGUUGGGGGUAUUAGUAUUCAAUUGUCAGAGGUGAAAUUCUUGGAUUUAUUGAAGACUAACUUCUGCGAAAGCAUUUGCCAAGGAUGUUUUCAUUAAUCAAGAACGAAAGUUAGGGGAUCGAAGACGAUCAGAUACCGUCGUAGUCUUAACCAUAAACUAUGCCGACUAGGGAUCGGACGAUGUUAAUUUUUCUUGACUCG